GGACUGGGAUAACCCUGGGAAACUGGGGAUAAUACUAGAUAGGCAAUUUUUCCUGGAAUGGUUUUUUGUUUAAAUGUUUUUUCGCCUAAGGAUGGGUCUGCGGCCGAUUAGGUAGUUGGUUAGGUAACGGCUUACCAAGCCAUUGAUCGGUACGGGUUGUGAGAGCAAGAGCCCGGAGAUGGAACCUGAGACAGGGUUCCAGGCCCUACGGGGUGCAGCAGGCGCGAAACCUCCGCAAUGUGAGAAAUCGCGACGGGGGGAUCCCAAGUGCCAUUCUUAACGGGAUGGCUUUUCAUUAGUGUAAAGAGCUUUUGGAAUAAGGGCUGGGCAAGACCGGUGCCAGCCGCCGCGGUAACACCGGCAGCUCUAGUGGUAGCAGUUUUUAUUGGGCCUAAAGCGUCCGUAGCCGGUUUAAUAAGUCUCUGGUGAAAUCCUGUAGCUUAACUGUGGGAAUUGCUGGAGAUACUAUUAGACUUGAGACCGGGAGAGGUUAGAGGUACUCCCAGGGUAGAGGUGAAAUUCUGUAAUCCUGGGAGGACCGCCUGUUGCGAAGGCGUCUAACUGGAACGGUUCUGACGGUGAGGGACGAAAGUUAGGGGCGCGAACCGGAUUAGAUACCCGGGUAGUCCUAACUGUAAACGAUGCGGACUUGGUGUUGGGGUGGCUUUGAGCUGCUCCAGUGCCGAAGGGAAGCUGUUAAGUCCGCCGCCUGGGAAGUACGGUCGCAAGACUGAAACUUAA
rnacentral:rRNA from 1 species